ensembl:lncRNA
CUGCAUGAAGGUUCUUUUCAUCAGUUGGAAUGGUUUUUACUGAAAGGAAAUGCAUUUCCAUGUGAAUGUAUUGGAGUUUGCAGCCCCACUGCUGCCUGCCUCCUUGAUUUUGGCUCUACUCACAGUUCCUUUUAUUGGUUUUUUGGCAGGUUGCUGAGGGCAUAUGUUUUGGACUUUUCUUGCCUGAUUUGUGAGAUUCUGCUGACAUCCAGGAAAGUGCUGCAAAAAAAACCUGUUGCUCAUAUCCAAGCUUAUGUGUUUCGUGGCAGAGCCACGAGCACUGAGCUCAAGUUUCUUGACAACAAGUCUUAUUUAUGGAGAAACAAACAUAGGCGGUAUUUCGUGGGACCAUGCUGUUCUCUUUCUUGGAGCUUAGAAUUGAAGAAAACGUAUGGAUGUGAGAGUUGGACUGUGAAGAAGGCUGAGCACCGAAGAAUUGAUGCUUUUGAACUGUGGUGUUGGAGAAGACUCUUGAGAGUCCCUUGGACUGCAAGGAGAUCCAACCAGUCCAUUCUAAAGGAGAUCAGAAGGGUGUUCUUUGAAAGGACUGAUGCUGAAGCUGAAACUCUAAUACUUUGGCCACCUAUUGUGAAGAGUUGACUCGUUGGAAAAGACCCUGAUGCUGGGAAAGAUUGAGGGCAGGAGGAGAAGGGGACGACAGAGGAUGAGAUGGCUGGAUGGCAUCACCAACUCAAUGGACGUGAGUCUGAGUGAACUCCGGGAGUUAGUGAUGGACAGGGAGGCCUGGUGUGCUGCGAUUCAUGGGGUCGCAAAGAGUUGGACGCGACUGAGCAACUGAACUGAACUGAACUGGACUGAACGCUUUACUUGGUCAUUUAAGUGUAUGGUGGCUGGUGUUUGUGGAUUUAUUCAUUUUGGAGAUGCUCUGUUUGCUUUUUUGCUAAUUCUAAUUCAGAGUUACGAAUCCUGCUUUCAUUUUCUUCUCUGUUACUUUGUGCUUGCAACUUCUUUCUGAUUUUCCUAGGUAUGAAAAAGAGAAAUCUUGAGAUACGCAUCAAAACAACACCAAACAGAAACACAGUUGUGCAAAGCAGAGAGGCCUCAUUAAAGUUGUGUUUUUUUUAAGUUACUUAAAAAUCAAGAAUGACCUUAUAAAUAAUUAUAAAUAUAAUAAAAGAUAUAAUAAUAAAUCUAAUAAAAGAAUG